rnacentral:sRNA from 1 species
UCUUAGCCCCGAUAGAAACGGCAUCCUUUUGGGUUGCGGACGGAGCAAAGCGGAGUCCGUAACCCAAAAGAUACAGUGGAUAGCGGGAGUAAGC